GAUGAACGCUAGCGGGAGGCCUAACACAUGCAAGCCGAGCGGUAUUUGUUCUUCGGAACAGAGAGAGCGGCGCACGGGUGCGGAACACGUGUGCAACCUGCCUUUAUCUGGGGGAUAGCCUUUCGAAAGGAAGAUUAAUACCCCAUAAUAUAUUGAGUGGCAUCACUUGAUAUUGAAAACUCCGGUGGAUAGAGAUGGGCACGCGCAAGAUUAGAUAGUUGGUGAGGUAACGGCUCACCAAGUCAAUGAUCUUUAGGGGGCCUGAGAGGGUGAUCCCCCACACUGGUACUGAGACACGGACCAGACUCCUACGGGAGGCAGCAGUGAGGAAUAUUGGACAAUGGGUUAGCGCCUGAUCCAGCCAUCCCGCGUGAAGGACGACGGCCCUAUGGGUUGUAAACUUCUUGUGUAUAGGGAUAAACCUACUCUCGUGAGAGUAGCUGAAGGUACUAUACGAAUAAGCACCGGCUAACUCC
rnacentral:rRNA from 1 species